UGAGAUCAUGACCCGAGCUGAAGUUGGACGCUCAACCACUGAGCCACCCAGGUGCCCCUCCACAAAAGAAUUUUAGGAAUCUGUAUAUUGUCUUUACUUCCAAAGAAUCUUCCAGAGGCUAGGGGGGUUUGCAUGACAGCCUCAGAUGACUGAGGCCAGCCUGACCUGCUCUGCAUUUCCAAGAAGUUCUAGCCUUUCUAGGAAUAGAUGCUGUUAGAUUCAGGGCGUCAACUGGCCCUUUUUGCUUUUAUUCAAGGCAUGAGAUAAGCUACCAAGGGACUCUCCACACUGCAAUGAACAUUCAGACUCCUAAACUGGUCCAUGAUUGAUUAGGAAAAUGAGAGCAUCUACAGAUAUUCUGGUGUCCUCAUGGAGGACCAGCGGUGACUCCCUAUUGAUCCUGACAUCCGAUACAAGCGUCUUCACUGACUGCCAAUUGCUCAGCCCAUCUUUCAAAUCUAAUUUUCAUUACAACUCAACAUUAACUCUCAAAGAGACACAGAAUGUGAAGAGGGGAGGGGCAGAGAGAGGGGGACACACAGAAUCCGAAGCAGGCUCCAGGCUCUGAGCUGUCAGCACAGAACCCGACUCGGGGCUCAAACUCACAGACCGCGAGAUCAUGACCUGAACCAAAGUUGGACCCAGACGCCUCUGGCCACCUUUUUAAAGCCGGGCCAUUUUCCCAGAUUCCUUUGUUGGUAAGUGAGGCCAUGCAAUCAAGAUCUCUCCAAUGAAAUGCGAGCAGAAGUGACGUGCCACCAUUUUGACCGGUUUAUAAAAUCUCUACACAUGACCACUCCUUUAUUCUCCCUCUUGGCUUCCUGGGACUUCAAUAUCCAUCAUGACCUUACAAGCUAUGUGUCGAAGACAGAGCUUGGGUCCCCGAGCUUCACUGCUAUCCCAAACUCUCACCCUGGACUAUUAAAUGAAGAAGAAAUUAUCUUCUUGUUGGCUACGUUGUUCUAUGCUGUUGAAAUGUUGAUAUAUAUAUUAGUUAUAGACAUAGACAAUUAGAUAUAUUACUGCAACCUACUCUAACACUAAUUGAGAGAGAGCACUUAGCCAAAAUCUAUUCUCAUUGCACCUAUGGGAAUGUUUUUCUCCUAACAGUUAAUCUGACUGUGGGGUGUGGUUAUUUGUCUUGUUGUUGUUUUUCUGCAGCAUCCAAACAACUUUACUACUUUAAGAGAAAAUCCCCAAAGAGAUGGAACAAAGGGCCCUCCCUGUCUCAAUCUAUGGAUGCCAAAGUGGGGCAGAUAUUUCUUUUCCUCAUCUCUGGCAGCUAGCAUAGGUGUUUGACCACAGCUUGACCCAUCAGAUACUCUACCACUUUGAAUCUUGAGCAAGUGGUACAAAGAUGCGAGGGUCCUCAGAGGUUUUUCAUGGCACUUUUGGUGUCAAAAAUUGCGUUGUGUGGGACUGAAUGGCCAGUGGUGAUGAGUAGUGUUGCACCAGCAGUGUCUUUCCUUCUUUUGGAAUGUUCUUGGCCAUGUGUUGUUUCUGUUCCCUUUUCUUAACUGUGGUAGUUUAUACUGUUCAAUUAAACUAUGUCUUCUAGAAUUUCCUUUUCUGUAUGUAACAAGUUAUAGUGGGCAAAAGAGGAAUUUGUGGAGCGCCUGCGUGUCUCAGUUGGUUAAGCAUCUGACCCUUGACUUUGACUCAUGUCAUGGUCUCAUGGUUCAUGAGAUCAAGCCCUGCCCGCAUCAUCUAUACAGAUCUCUCUCUCCCUCUCUCUCUGCCCCUCCCCUGCUCUCUCUCUCUCAAAAUAAAUGAAUAAGCUUUAAAAAUAAAGAAGAAGAAUUUGUGUAAGACUGUGAACUCGGAAGGCAGAAGUGAAACAACAAACGUUACUCUCUGAAGGUCUUCAUGACUAGAUGCGGUGACAGAAUUAAAGGUUCCAGGCAGUACUUGCUCUCUUACCUCCCACCUCCAGCUUUUCUUCCCAGUUAGUGGCCCUUUGACUAACAGCAGCCUCAAGACCACCACCAUUCAUUUGGUGUGUGGCUCGCUGAAGAGAAGCCCAGCUUCCUUAGGUAAUCCCACAAGCCUUGCGAUCCCACUUUGGUGGCUGAAUGUGCUUGGUGGUUGACUCCUUUCUGAUCCUCCCACUUCCUACUGGACGCCCACUUCCCAGCAACUCCUAUAAUUGUCUUUUGGCCUAAUUUCCAUAAUAAAUUCCUCAUCAUAAAACACACAUGGUUCUGCUUCUAACAUCUCCCUGUUGAUCUCUGAAAACCCACACUGUUUACCCUGGCCAGCAAGGCCUUCUGUGACCAAGGCUCUGACUCUCCAGCAUCAUCUUGUGAAGUUCUUGUGCUUCAAACUGAGUUUCGCUCUAGAAUACUCUAGCCUCUGUGUAUCUUAUAUAGUUUCACACCUCUGUGAUUUUUGCUUAUUCUGUUUUUCCCCUCAAAAUACACUCCUUUUGCACUUUUGUGUAAUUAAUUUCUGUUGCCUCCUCAAGCUUAGGCCCAGGUAUUAUCUCCUCCAAUAGUAUUUGGGUGUCACCAUGGACCAGGUUAAGUGCCCCUCCCUUGGGCUUCCAUUGGCCUCUCCAUGAUGUCCCAUAUACAUUGUUUUGAACCCUGCUAUUUCCCCUCCCUGGACUAUAACUUUCUCGGAGACAGGAACUAUGUCACAUUUGUUUUUAAAUCCUUAGUGUCUGUACAGAGCCUAACACAAAAUAGGCUUGCAAAGUGUUUUUUAAAGUGAGCAGAACUAGCUGUUCUAAAUGAGUUUGGCUUGAUAAAUUACAUCUCGGUAUCUUCAGAAAAUCAACACAAUGCUAAAACACCAUGUAUAAUAAGAACAAGCAAAUGGAGGUAAAUAUGGUAGAAAAUGGGUGGUUAAGGUAGUGGAUUUUAUGCCCCAAUAAAUAAACAGUAAUCACUGGAAAUCAACAAAGGGUCCCCAAGAAAAUAUUUGUUGGUUCCCAGUCAUUUAUGAAAGAUAUUCUUUGAGCCAGGCACUGUAUUAGACACUCAACAUACAAAGGUAGCUAAUUUUAGCCCUGCAGUGAGUUCAAGUUUCAUGGGACAGCCACACCUGAGCAGCAUCUGCAUAGGUACAGUAAUAGCUGCCUUCAUGACCUAUGGAAAACUUUACCCUAAAGCUGGUGAUUAACAGAUCAGUGUUUACCCGAAGAUACACUUAAAGUAACAAGCACUGAUCUUUUUCUCUUUUCUCUUCACCUACUUUUGUUAGUGAUAUAUAUCAUGACAUUGGAGAGAGAGUUAUAUCGGUGGCUGAAUCAAAGUUGGGAGGGAUGGUAAAGAUGGUAAGUAGGAUCUACAACUCAUUGUGGUUGCAAUAAUAAAAACAAAAUUCAAUCAGAUGAAUGUAACGUUCUGUACACGAGCCUUAAGUCCCAGUGUCCCUAGGUAGAGGUUACCGCAAGAUGCAUUCCAACGGGAAAGAACUUUCUAACAAUUGGAGCCAUUGUCCAGAAGUGGAACAGACUAUCCUGGGAGAUCACGUGCUGCCCUCACUGGAGCUCUGAAGCAGAGGCCGGAAACCCCCGUGGAUGCGGUGAGAUCUCAGCGUUGUGUUGUUUCACACACCCUGGCCUCAACCACAUGAAGAAUCUUAUUUGUCUGUUGUUGGGUCAAGAGAUGUUCCCUCCAGCUGUUGAGAAUCUUGUCGCCUGGGUAAAAUAACAGGGCAUAUUUUACAAGAGCUAUUAAUAUGGGCUGUAAGUGUGCUGUGAGGCACCAGGCCAACAGCUGGAUGGAAAUGGCAGGUUCUGGGCCAGCUGAAACCCUGCUUUCAAGUGUUGCAUGUUGCGCGCACACACAUAAACACACACACAUGUGCGCACACGCAUACACACAACCAGCUUGGGAAUGUUAAACGGCUCCAGAUUUAUUUUUUAAUAUGAACUAAAAUGUGGAGUGUGGCCUAGAGGUACACAGAACCCGGCGAGCCUGCUCCUUCACGCCACAGGCCGGAGGCAUCUGGCCCAGGCCUAAAAGCUGCUGGAGCUCCGCGAAGAUGAAGGGUUCGGGAAGGCAUGCCCUCCUCCUCAGCCAGGUGACCAGGCAGAGGAACCGCAGAGCAACCCGGGCCGUCACAGCAUCUGGGUGAUUACCUAGUCAGAUUGCCACCGCACAACAGUGAGAUCUCUCUUCUUCAGGCAGUCAACGUCCCUUGGUGAGUCAUUAGAAAAAGUAAGAUGCUACCUAGAUUGUACAUAAAAUACAAACACUUGUAUUUUAUGUUCCAUCCCUCAGCCAUCAUGUUCCUGCCUCACAAAAGUCACAGAUUUACUCCGGUCAUGACCGAAAGGAAAGGGCGGCGGAAUGCGCUGAAGGUGGAGUUGAGUGAAAUGUUUGCACUUGCUGAAAGUCUGAACUCAGACAAGGCGUCAGGAUUUUCUUACUGGGACCAGAGGCUGUCAGGCUGAUUUGAUAGGGUGCUAUUGCCAAAAUCAAAAUACAUCCGAACAGAGAGCUGCUUCUGAGGGCUCGGAGAAGCAGUAGUCAAAGCAGUACCAUGAGAAUUUGUCUUCAGAACCAUCCGACUUCCCUUGCCUUUGGAGACAUACGCCUCUCCCUUCUGCCUCCAUCUUCGGGAGCUCCACGCUGUCUCCUGUGCUCUCCUACCUACUAUAGCUGGUGCCGAGCAAAGAAGGGUAACACGGGACACAUCGACCUACCUUCUCCACUUGACAGCUUUCCAAGUAUCUGAGGAGAGUAACCACAUCUUUCCUUCGCCUCCUUUUAGCCAAGUUAAUCAUUCCCGGUUCUUUCAUUUGUUCCUCAUUUGACAUGGUUUCCAGAUUCUGCCAGACAUUUUCCCUCCCCACCGCCCGUCAGGACUGCCAACUCUGAACAAACUCUAGUUUCCCAAUGCUAUAGAAUAUGGUAUCAGAGGCGGAACACAAUUCUCCAAGGUUCCAGAACUGACAUAGAGAUAGCACAUGACCUAGAAUUUGGUAUCUGUACUUCCUUUGAUGGGGUUUGCUAGCUACCCCAGCUUUCUUUCGGUGAAAAUUUUUUAGACAUACUGUGCAUCAGGCAUGGCACUGGAGAGACAAUAAUGAACAAGACCCAGUCCUCACCCUUGAAGAA